rnacentral:rRNA from 1 species
AGGGCACCACCAGGAGUGGAGCCUGCGGCUUAAUUUGACUCAACACGGGGAAACUCACCCGGCCCGGACACCGGAAGGAUUGACAGAUUGAUAGCUUUUUCAUGAUUCGGUGGAUGGUGGUGCAUGGCCGUUCUUAGUUCGUGGAGCGAUUUGUCUGGUUUAUUCCGAUAACGAGCGAGACUCUAGCCUACUAAAUAGUUCGCACAUUGUCUCUGUGUGUGUGACUUCUUAGAGGGAUUUUCGGGGUUCAGCCGCACAAAAUUGAGCAAUAACAGGUCUGUGAUGCCCUUAGAUGUCCGGGGCUGCACGCGCGCUACACUGGAAAAAUCACCGUGCUUGUCCUUCCCCCAAAGGGGAUGGGAAACCCCUGAAAAUAUGCCGCGAUUGGGAUUGGAAAUUGCAAUUAUUUUCCAUGAACGAGGAAUUCCAAGUAAGUGCGAGACAUCAGCUCGCGUUGAUUACAUCCCUGCCCUUUGUACACACCGCCCGUCGCUGUCCGGGACUGAGACAUUUCGAGAA